rnacentral:rRNA from 1 species
GAUGAACGCUGGCGGCGUGCCUAAUACAUGCAAGUCGAGCGAACAGACGAGGAGCUUGCUCCUCUGACGUUAGCGGCGGACGGGUGAGUAACACGUGGAUAACCUACCUAUAAGACUGGGAUAACUUCGGGAAACCGGAGCUAAUACCGGAUAAUAUAUUGAACCGCAUGGUUCAAUAGUGAAAGACGGUUUUGCUGUCACUUAUAGAUGGAUCCGCGCCGCAUUAGCUAGUUGGUAAGGUAACGGCUUACCAAGGCAACGAUGCGUAGCCGACCUGAGAGGGUGAUCGGCCACAAUGGAACUGAGACACGGUCCAGACUCCUACGGGAGGCAGCAGUAGGGAAUCUUCCGCAAUGGGCGAAAGCCUGGCGGAGCAACGCCGCGUGAGUGAUGAAGGUCUUCGGAUCGUAAAACUCUGUUAUUAGGGAAGAACAAAUGUGUAAGUAACUAUGCACGUCUUGAAGGUACCUAAUCAGAAAGCCACGGCUAACUACGUG